AGUUUUGUAGCUCAGUUGGUAGAGCACUACGCUGUUAACGUAGAUUAUUUAAGAAAGCUCAUCACCUUGUAAAACUG
rnacentral:tRNA from 1 species